CUUGGUCAUUUAGAGGAAGUAAAAGUCGUAACAAGGUCUCCGUAGGUGAACCUGCGGAGGGAUCAUUACUGAGUGAGCGUCCUCGGGCGCGACCUCCAACCCUUUUGUAUUCCGACCAUGUUGCCUCGGGGGUGACCCGGCCUUCGGGCGUCGGGGCCCCCGGUGGACCCUAUAACUCUGCAUCUCUGCGUCUGAGUAUGAUAUUGAAUCAAUCAAAACUUUCAACAACGGAUCUCUUGGUUCUGGCAUCGAUGAAGAACGCAGCGAAAUGCGAUAAGUAAUGUGAAUUGCAGAAUUCAGUGAAUCAUCGAAUCUUUGAACGCACAUUGCGCCCCUCGGUAUUCCGGGGGGCAUGCCUGUUCGAGCGUCAUUACACCCCUCCAGCCUCGCUGGGUUUUGGACGUCCGCGGAGCAAUCUGCGCGCCUUAAUGUCGCCGGCCGGACCGACCGUCUCUAAGCGUUGUAGUAACAGUUCGCUUGCGGGCACGGGAGGGACGUCGCCGUUAAAACCUCUAUCACAGGUUGACCUCGGAUCAAGUAGGGAUACCCGCUGAACUUAAGCAUAUCAAUAAGCGGAG
rnacentral:rRNA from 1 species